AUCCAGCUGACGAGUUUCGAAUAGGACGAAACACGUAUCGAACUGGAU
rnacentral:hammerhead_ribozyme from 1 species